AUUAACGCUAGCGGCAGGCAUAAUACAUGCAAGUUGAACGGCAGCACAGGUAGCAAUACUGGGUGGCGAGUGGCGCACGGGUGCGUAACACGUAUGCAACCUACCCUAUACAGGCGAAUAACCUUUAGAAAUGAGGGCUAAUACGCCGUAGUAUUACAGAUGGGCAUCUAUUUGUAAUUAAAGAUUUAUCGGUAUAGGAUGGGCAUGCGUCCCAUUAGUUAGUUGGUAAGGUAACGGCUUACCAAGACGAUGAUGGGUAG
rnacentral:rRNA from 1 species